CCACAGAUCACAGGACCAAACCAGCUAUCAUCCUCAGGAGAUCCAGAGUGAUCAGAUGCAGGGAGCUGAGCCUCCUCGAGGUGAUAAUUCUGCUUCUCAGGAACAGAAAGAUGAGACACUGAGGGAGCUGGAGAGCCAGAUGACAAAGCUGACUAAUGAGUUGGGCAUCAUAAGAGAGCAGAACAAAAACCUACAAAAUCGUGUAAAAUUCCUGGAGUUAUGUCUGAAGGACCAUUGCAGAGAAGGGGUCCAGUCAGAUUGUCCUUUUCACAAUGGGUCCAACUGUACUGAAGAUCGCUGUCAGACAAGAGCGUGUAAUGAGGAUAACAGGCAGUGCCCUCAACAGCCGUGCGCUCCUCAAAACUGCCCAGGAGAGAAUGUACCUGACUGUCAGAGAAGAACAUGUAAUGAGGAUAACAGGCAGUGCCCUCAACAGCCGUGCCGUCCUCAAAACUGCCCGCAGGAAAAUGUACCUGACUGUCAGACACGAACGUGUGAUGAGGAUAACAGGCAGUGUCCUCAACAGCGAUGCCCUAAUCAAGACUGCAGAGAGGAGAAUGUACCUGACUGUCAGACAAGAACGUGUAAUGAGGAUAACAGGCAGUGCCCUCAACAGCCAAGCCCUCCUCAAAACUGCCCACAGGAAAAUGUACCUGACUGUCAGACACGAACAUGUGAUGAUAACAGGCAGUGCCCUCAACAGCCAUGCCCUAAUCAAGACUGCAGAGAGGAAAAUGUAACUGGCUGUCAGACACGAACGUGUGAUGUGAGUAUUUCAUAUUUUUCCAUAAUAAAUAACAAUCAAAAAUAUUUAAUAAGCUUGAAGAAUUCUGCUGGUCCUAUUUUCCAUUCCUUUUUUCUCAAUUUUUGUUUGUCUUCCUUUUAAUAAUAGGAUAACAGGCAGUGCCCUCAACAGCCAUGCCCUAAUCAAGACUGCAGAGAGGAAAAUGUACCUGGCUGUCAGACACAAACGUGCAAUGUAAGUAUUUGAUGUUUACUUCAUAAUAAAUGACAAUCAAAAAUAUUAAAUAAGCUUAAGAAGUCUUUUGGCCCUUUUUUCCAUUCCUUUUC
ensembl:lncRNA